rnacentral:rRNA from 1 species
AUUGAACGCUGGCGGCAGGCCUAACACAUGCAAGUCGAACGAGUGGCGGACGGGUGAGUAAUGUCUGGGAAACUGCCUGAUGGAGGGGGAUAACUACUGGAAACGGUAGCUAAUACCGCAUACCAUCAGAUGUGCCCAGAUGGGAUUAGCUGGUUGGGGGGGUAACGGCUCACCAAGGCGACGAUCCAUAGCCGGUCUGAGAGGAUGACCAGCCACACUGGGACUGAGACACGGUCCAGACUCCUACGGGAGGCAGCAGUGGGGAAUAUUGGACAAUGGGCGAAAGCCUGACCGAGCCAUGCCGCGUGAAUGAAGAAGGCCUUCGGGUUGUAAAGUACUUUCAGCGGGGAGGCGUUACCCGCAGAAGAAGCAACGGCUAACUCCGUGCCAGCAGCCGCGGUAAUAC